UACGAAGGGGGCUAGCGUUGCUCGGAAUCACUGGGCGUAAAGCGCACGUAGGCGGCUUACUAAGUCAGGGGUGAAAUCCUGGAGCUCAACUCCAGAACUGCCUUUGAUACUGGUGAGCUUGAGUCCGGAAGAGGUGAGUGGAACUGCGAGUGUAGAGGUGAAAUUCGUAGAUAUUCGCAAGAACACCAGUGGCGAAGGCGGCUCACUGGUCCGGUACUGACGCUGAGGCACGAAAGCGUGGGGAGCAAACAGG
rnacentral:rRNA from 1 species